rnacentral:pre_miRNA from 1 species
CUAAUACUCCCUCCGUCCGAAAAUACUUGUCAUCAAAAUAGAUAAAAAGAGGUGUAUCUAGAACUAAAAUACGUCUAGAUACAUCCCUUUUUAUUCAUUUUGAUGACAAAUAUUUCCGGACGGAGGGAGUAUAAG